UACGUAGGUGGCAAGCGUUGUCCGGAAUUAUUGGGCGUAAAGGGCGCGUAGGCGAUCCUGUAAGUCUCGUGUGAAAUCCCAGGGCUUAACCCUGGAAUGGCAAGAGAAACUGCUGGAAUUGAGUUCCGGAGAGGAAGGCAGAAUUCCCGGUGUAGCGGUGAAAUGCGUAGAUAUCGGGAGGAAUACCAGUGGCGAAGGCGGCCUUCUGGACGGAUACUGACGCUGAGGCGCGAAAGCCAGGGGAGCAAACGGG
rnacentral:rRNA from 1 species